rnacentral:rRNA from 1 species
UACGUAGGGCGCAAGCGUUGUCCGGAAUUAUUGGGCGUAAAGAGCUCGUAGGCGGUCUGUUGCGUCGGGAGUGAAAACUUACAGCUUAACUGUGAGCGUGCUUUCGAUACGGGCAGACUUGAGGCAUUCAGGGGAGAACGGAAUUCCAGGUGUAGCGGUGAAAUGCGUAGAUAUCUGGAGGAAUACCGGUGGCGAAGGCGGCAUCCUGGACCGACAUUGACGCUGAGGAGCGAAAGCCAGGGGAGCAAACGGG